rnacentral:rRNA from 1 species
GACGAACCGAGCGAACGUUGUUCGGAAUCACUGGGCUUAAAGGGCGCGUAGGCGGGUGCUCAAGUCCGGGGUGAAAUCCUCCAGCUCAACUGGAGAACUGCCUCGGAUACUGGGUGCCUCGAGGGUGGCAGGGGUAUGCGGAACUAUCGGUGGAGCGGUGAAAUGCGUUGAUAUCGAUAGGAGCUCCGGUGGCGAAGGCGGCAUACUGGUCCACUUCUGACGCUGAGGCGCGAAAGCCAGGGGAGCAAACGGG